GACGAACGCUGGCGGCGUGCUUAACACAUGCAAGUCGAGCGGUAAGGCCCUUUCGGGGGUACACGAGCGGCGAACGGGUGAGUAACACGUGGGUGACCUGCCCUCAGCUCUGGGAUAAGCCUGGGAAACCGGGUCUAAUACCGGAUAUGACUCCAUGACGCAUGUUGUGGGGUGGAAAGCCUUGUGCGGCUGAGGAUGGGCCCGCGGCCUAUCAGCUUGUUGGUGGGGUGAUGGCCUACCAAGGCGACGACGGGUAGCCGGCCUGAGAGGGCGACCGGCCACACUGGGACUGUAACACGGCCCAGACUCCUACGGGAGGCAGCAGUGGGGAAUCUUGCGCAAUGGGCGAAAGCCUGACGCAGCGACGCCGCGUGAGGGAUGACGGCCU
rnacentral:rRNA from 1 species